GAUUAAUGAACUUGUUAAAGUAAUUGUUUUGAAAACAAUAUAAAGAAGAAUAACCUUCUAUUAAUUU
rnacentral:tRNA from 1 species